UUGCAUUUGCCCCAGAUGCUCCCUGGCUGCGGGAAGAGACACAGCAAACAGCAGUGCUGCGGAGGUAUGUCUAAUUGCAGAUACUUUUUGUUCAUCAUCGUAUUGAACGUCGUUGCGUGUUCCAGCAGCCAUCAACUUCCUCAGGAGGAAAAUUCAAUUGUGCACUGAGCGACAGCGUGAAGAGACCGGGCCAAGCAGGCAGGGUGCUGCAGGUCAACAAGGUGCUGCUGUGCUCCUGAAGCCUUCAGGAGCCUCAGCCUGAGAGCUCAGGAAAGGGUGGGGCUCCAACCCACCUGGCUUUCCGCCUUACUGAGCUCCAAACACAGGCUUGUUCCACAUCACGGAGAGCCCUUAUCCUGCAUGUGCGUCUCGCUCCCUGACAAGCCUAUUUGUGCCUUGUCACCAGAAAUGUACCUUUUUUCUUCUCUCAUCUGUCCCUGAC
rnacentral:lncRNA from 1 species